AAACAUGGAACAAAUAUGUAGCUCUAAAAGCAAAAUACGAUGAAUUAGUGAAAGCCAAACGUUCUAAAGGUGUUCAGUGCAAUAUACUGAAUGACGAAGAGGUCAUUCAGCACAGAGCUGAAUCUGAAAUGACGGCAGGCAACGACGUAAAUGAAGAGUCUGAAGACAGCGAAGUUGAAAUGGACACGGUUGCGGACGACGAUUUUAAAAUAGAAGACGAGGCUGAAUCGGGAAGAUCGGAAUUUGAUGAAUUAGAAGAUGAAUGCAGAAGG